rnacentral:rRNA from 2 species
UAAGGAGUUUUCGGCAAUGGGGGAAACCCUGACCGAGCAACGCCGCGUGAAUGAUGAAGGCCCCAUGGGUCGUAAAAUUCUGUUGUAAGGGACGAAUAGUACGGGUAGGAAAUGCCCCGUAUCUGACUGUACCUUACUAGAAAGCCACGGCUAACUACGUGCCAGCAGCCGCGGUAAUACGUAGGUGGCAAGCGUUAUCCGGAAUUAUUGGGCGUAAAGAGUGAGCAGGCGGCCGUUUAAGUCUGAAGUCAAAUGCAAUAGCUUAACUAUUGUUCGCUUUGGAAACUGGAUGGCUAGAGUUCGGGAGAGGUAAAUGGAACUUCAUGUGUAGCGGUGAAAUGCGUAGAUAUAUGAAAGAACACCAGUGGCGAAGGCGAUUUACUAGACCGAUACUGACGCUCAGUCACGAAAGCGUGGGUAGCAAAUAGG